rnacentral:rRNA from 1 species
UACGUAGGGGGCAAGCGUUGUCCGGAUUUAUUGGGCGUAAAGCGCGUGUAGGCGGCCUGACAGGUCUGCUGUGAAAACUCGAGGCUCAACCUGGGGCCUGCAGUCGAUACGGGCAAACUAGAGUACUGCAGGGGUGACUGGAAUUCCUGGUGUAGCGGUGAAAUGCGCAGAUAUCAGGAGGAACACCGGUGGCGAAGGCGGGUUUCUGGGCAGGAACUGACGCUGAGGAGCGAAAGCGUGGGGAGCGAACAGG